rnacentral:tRNA from 1 species
GUACUGUAGUGGGAACGCAACCUGCCUGCUGACACAAAGGCUGUGGGUUCGAACCCCAGUGCCU